GGGCCCGCACAAGCGGCGGAGCAUGCGGAUUAAUUCGAUGCAACGCGAAGAACCUUACCAAGGCUUGACGUAUACGAGAACGCUGCAGAAAUGUAGAACUCUUUGGACACUCGUAAACAGGUGGUGCAUGGUUGUCGUCAGCUCGUGUCGUGAGAUGUUGGGUUAAGUCCCGCAACGAGCGCAACCCUCGUUCUAUGUUGCCAGCACGUAAUGGUGGGAACUCAUGGGAUACUGCCGGGGUCAACUCGGAGGAAGGUGGGGAUGACGUCAAAUCAUCAUGCCCCUUAUGUCUUGGGCUUCACGCAUGCUACAAUGGCCGGUACAAAGGGCUGCAAUACCGCAAGGUGGAGCGAAUCCCAAAAAGCCGGUCCCAGUUCGGAUUGAGGUCUGCAACUCGACCUCAUGAAGUCGGAGUCGCUAGUAAUCGCAGA
rnacentral:rRNA from 1 species